rnacentral:rRNA from 2 species
UACGUAGGUGGCGAGCGUUGUCCGGAUUUAUUGGGUUUAAAGGGUGCGUAGGCGGCCCUAUAAGUCAGUGGUGAAAUAUCGCAGCUUAACUGUGAGGGUGCCAUUGAUACUGUAGGGCUUGAGUGAAUUUGAGGUAGGCGGAAUUGACGGUGUAGCGGUGAAAUGCUUAGAUAUCGUCAAGAACACCGAUAGUGAAGACAGCUUACCAAGCUUCAACUGACGCUGAGGCACGAAAGUGUGGGGAUCAAACAGG